UACGUAGGGUGCGAGCGUUAAUCGGAAUUACUGGGCGUAAAGCGUGCGCAGGCGGUCUCGUAAGACAGGUGUGAAAUCCCCGGGCUCAACCUGGGAACUGCGCUUGUGACUGCGAGGCUAGAGUGCGGAAGAGGGAGGUGGAAUUCCACGUGUAGCAGUGAAAUGCGUAGAGAUGUGGAGGAACACCGAUUGCGAAGGCAGCUUGCUAAACUGAUACUGACGCUGAGUCACGAAAGCGUGGGGAGCAAACAGG
rnacentral:rRNA from 1 species